GGGGUGAAAGGCUAAUCAAACUUGGAGAUAGCUCGUACUCCCCGAAAUGCAUUUAGGUGCAGCCUUGUGAGUUACUAAUGUGAGGUAGAGCGACUGAUAAGAUGCGAGGGCUUCACCGCCUAUCAAGUCUUGAUAAACUCCGAAUGCGCAUUAGUUCUAUCACAGGAGUGAGGGCAUGGGUGCUAAGGUCCAUGUCCUAAAGGAGAAGAAUCCGGACCAUCAGCUAAGGUCCCGAAAUAGAUACUAAGUUGAACUAACGAAGUCAGAUUGCUAAGACAGCUAGGAUGUUGGCUUGGAAGCAGCCAUUCAUUUAAAGAGUGCGUAACAGCUCACUAGUCGAGGAGUUUGGCGUGGAUAAUAAUCGGGCAUUAAGCAAUUUACCGAAGCUAUGGGAUCAGUAAUGAUCGGUAGGGGAGCAUUCCACUCUGCGUCGAAGGUGAAGCGUGAGCUUUGCUGGAGCGUGUGGAAAAGCAAAUGUAGGUAUAAGUAACGAUAAAGGGGGUGGGAAACCCCCUCGCCGAAAGACUAAGGUUUCCUGAUCAACGCUAAUCGGAUCAGGGUUAGUCGGGUCCUAAGGCUCAGCCGAACGGUGAGGCCGAUGGCAGAACAGGUUAAUAUUCCUGUACUACCUUAAGGAGUGACGUGGAGACGGAGUCGUGACAGCGCCGCGGACUGACGGAAUAGUCCGUUGAAGGGUGUAGAUGUUGAUUGCGGCAGGCAAAUCCACCGCAAGAGUCGAACCUGAUAGUAUGGAGCGUUCUUCUGAACAAUCCAAUAGUGCGUGUAAACAUACUCCCAAGAAAAUCCGCUAAACUUAAUCUUUAAGGUACCCGUACCGUAAACGGACACACGUAGUCGGGUUGAAUAUACUAAGGCGCUUGAGUGAUUCACGGUUAAGGAACUAGGCAAACUGACCCUGUAACUUCGGGAUAAAGGGUCCUCGCUUAACGGCGAGGCGCAGAGAAUAGGUCCAGGCAACUGUUUAACAAAAACACAGGGCUGUGCAAAAUUGAAAGAUGAAGUAUACAGCCUGACACCUGCCCGGUGCUGGAAGGUUAAGAGGAGAUGUCAUCGCAAGAGAAGCAUUGAAUUGAAGCCCCAGUAAACGGCGGCCGUAACUAUAACGGUCCUAAGGUAGCGAAAUUCCUUGUCGGGUAAGUUCCGACCCGCACGAAUGGUGUAAUGAUCUGGGCACUGUCUCAACUACCCGCCCGGCGAAAUUGUAGUACCGGUGAAGAUGCCGGUUACCCGUGACAAGACGGAAAGACCCCAUGGAGCUUUACUGUAGCUUAAUAUUGGGUUUCGAUAAUUUAUGUACAGGAUAGGUGGGAGGCUAGGAAACUCUGGCGCCAGCCGGAGUGGAGCCACCCUUGGGAUACCACCCUUAAGUUAUUGGAAUUCUAACCUGCGGCCGUGAAUCCGGCCGGGGGACAUUGUUAGGUGGACAGUUUGACUGGGGCGGUCGCCUCCAAAAAGGUAACGGAGGCGCUCAAAGGUUUGCUCAGCACGGAUGGAAACCGUGCUUUUGAGUGUAAACGCAUAAGCAAGCCUAACUGUUCAGAACGUCGUGAGACAGUUCGGUCCCUAUCUGUCAUGGGCGUAGGAUAUUUGAGGAGAGCUGUUCCUAGUACGAGAGGACCGGGAUGGACGCACCGCUGGCGCACCAGUUGUCAUGCCAAUGGCACAGCUGGGCAACUAUGUGCGGACCGGAUAAACGCUGAAAGCAUCUAAGCGUGAAGCCGACUCCAAGAUAAGAUAUCCCAUAGUGUUAAACUAGUAAGACCCCUUGUAGACUACGAGGUAGAUAGGCUGCGUGUGUAAGCACGGUAACGUGUUCAGCUUGGCAGUACUAAUAGGUCGAGGGCUUGACCAUAAUUUCUUUGGUUUGGCUCUGUAAUUUCCUUUCUGUUUUUCUUUAU
rnacentral:rRNA from 1 species